GAGUUUGAUCCUGGCUCAGAACGUACGCUGGCGGCACGCCUAACACAUGCAAGUCGAACGAAGUAGCAAUACUUAGUGGCAGACGGGUGAGUAACAUGUAGGUAUCUGCCCUUUGGCCUGGAAUAACACGAGGAAACUUGUGCUAAUACCGGAUAAGUCUUUACGGAGAAAGCUUUAUGCACCAUCGGAUGAGCCUGCACUUGAUUAGUUUGUUGGUGGGGUAAUGGCCUACCAAGACUGUGAUCAAUAGCUGAUUUGAGAGGAUGAUCAGCCACAUUGGGACUGAGACACGGCCCAAACUCCUACGGGAGGCAGCAGUGGGGAAUCUUGCACAAUGGAGGAAACUCUGAUGCAGCGAUGCCGCGUGAGUGAAGAAGGCCUUUGGGUUGUAAAGCUCUUUCGUCGGGGAAGAAAAUGACUGUACCCGAAUAAGAAGGUCCGGCUAACUUCGUGCCAGCAGCCGCGGUAAUACGAAGGGACCUAGCGUAGUUCGGAAUUACUGGGCUUAAAGAGUUCGUAGGUGGUUGAAAAAGUUAGUGGUGAAAUCCCGGAGCUUAACUCUGGAACUGCCAUUAAAACUUUUCAGCUAGAGUAUGAUAGAGGAAAGCAGAAUUUCUAGUGUAGAGGUGAAAUUCGUAGAUAUUAGAAAGAAUACCAAUUGCGAAGGCAGCUUUCUGGAUCAUUACUGACACUGAGGAACGAAAGCAUGGGUAGCGAAGAGGAUUAGAUACCCUCGUAGUCCAUGCCGUAAACGAUGUGUGUUAGACGUUGGAAAUUUAUUUUCAGUGUCGCAGGAAACCGAUAAACACACCGCCUGGGAGUACGACCGCAAGGUUAAACUCAAUGAAUUGACGGG
rnacentral:rRNA from 1 species